rnacentral:rRNA from 1 species
AGUGAACGCUGGCGGUAGGCCUAACACAUGCAAGUCGAACGGCAGCACAGUAAUAGCUUGCUCUUACGGGUGGCGAGUGGCGGACGGGUGAGGAAUACAUCGGAAUCUACUUUUUCGUGGGGGAUAACGUAGGGAAACUUACGCUAAUACCGCAUACGACCUACGGGUGAAAGCAGGGGAUCUUCGGACCUUGCGCGAUUGAAUGAGCCGAUGUCGGAUUAGCUAGUUGGCGGGGUAAAGGCCCACCAAGGCGACGAUCCGUAGCUGGUCUGAGAGGAUGAUCAGCCACACUGGAACUGAGACACGGUCCAGACUCCUACGGGAGGCAGCAGUGGGGAAUAUUGGACAAUGGGCGCAAGCCUGAUCCAGCCAUACCGCGUGGGUGAAGAAGGCCUUCGGGUUGUAAAGCCCUUUUGUUGGGAAAAAAAAGCAGCAGGUUAAUACCCCGCUGUUCUGACGGUACCCAAAGAAUAAGCACCGGCUAACUUCGUG